ensembl:lncRNA
AGCCGUUAUACGAGGCCAGGUGAUGCUAACAUCCUCUAAUUAAAAACAUUUAGCGUCGAGGAAACCUCAUGUUAACGUUGUCAUACUACUGCUAAACUGUACGGCUGAAACUGUGACGCCCUGGCCUCACAUCAGCUAACAACAGGAAGUUAACAAAGUCGCUAAAAUGAAAUAACACCGACAGUUAACUUAGCUAGCAGCGGUGCUAAUGCUAACAGCUCCGCUGACGUUAAUUAGCAGCGAAACCUUGACGAGCAACAGGUGAAGUCGACAUGAAGGACGAUAAAUGGACUUCAGAUAACACAGAGGAGGUGUGCAGCAAGCAAUUUAUGGCAUUUCUGCAACAUUUUAGGAAACUGCUCCUAGUCUGGCUGCUGUAACUGCCCAACAGAACAGGCUAUUAACAGUGUGUCACCUGGCUGGGUUUCUGUACUGUAUGUUUGUGAUGUAUGCGCUAUUAGACUAAAAUAUUCAUAAUAAUUGCACGAGCUGAACAUAACAAUAUGAGCGCAUAAUAACUAGCAUUUGGAUGAGAAUAAACAUUAUACUCAGAGUAAAUUCCUCCAUGUGCUUUUCUGCUUUGCACUUCC